rnacentral:tRNA from 1 species
GGACGCUUAGCUCAGUUUGGUUCAGAGCGCCGCCCUUACAAGGCGGAGGUCGUAGGUUCGAGCCCUACAGCGUCCA